rnacentral:rRNA from 1 species
UUGUGGUUCAUGACUGGGGUGAAGUCGUAACAAGGUAGCGCUAGGGGAACCUGGCGCUGGAUCACCUCCUUAAACGAUGAU